UGGGGAAUAUUGGACAAUGGGCGCAAGCCUGAUCCAGCCAUGCCGCGUGAGUGAUGAAGGCCCUAGGGUUGUAAAGCUCUUUCACCGGUGAAGAUAAUGACGGUAACCGGAGAAGAAGCCCCGGCUAACUUCGUGCCAGCAGCCGCGGUAAUACGAAGGGGGCUAGCGUUGUUCGGAUUUACUGGGCGUAAAGCGCACGUAGGCGGACUUUUAAGUCAGGGGUGAAAUCCCGGGGCUCAACCCCGGAACUGCCUUUGAUACUGGAAGUCUUGAGUAUGGUAGAGGUGAGGGGAAUUCCAAGUGUAGAGGUGAAAUUCGUAGAUAUUCGGAGGAACACCAGUGGCGAAGGCGGCUCACUGGACCAUUACUGACGCUGAGGUGCGAAGGCGGGGGAGCAAACAGG
rnacentral:rRNA from 1 species